ACCGCUCUAAACUAAAGAAUUCUGUUAAGAGAGUGGUUCGAUAUUUUGCCAAUAUAGAACUAGUAUAGAGAACCAAAAUUUAACCAGUAAAAAGCCCUAGCCCCUCCCCUCGACUCCCCUCUUUACCUACACUCUUGCUCUUCUCUAAACCCUACACUUCUCUCUCCUCUCCUCUCCUCUCAGAUCUCUCUCCCCUCACGUUACUCUCUCUCUCACCUCCGCCAUUACUGUUCUGCCAAACUCCUCAACAAAACCCUCUCUAACUGUUCUGCUGGUUGAGGAAGCAACCUGGUAGCUCGAACAAAGGGUUUCUCUGCUGCCUUUGUAGUCCUUCAACCCUGUUUCGAAUGGUUUGGCGACUCUCUGUCACUCGUAACCUUUCAUUUCCUCGUGUCUUAUCUUUUACCCCGCCUUUUUCUAUUCUUUAAUGCGUGUGUUGAAAAGAUGCAUUUUAUCAGUGAGGACCACCAGCUUCUGUUCUUAUCAUCAGCUAUUAACAAUAAACAACAAGAAUUUGGCAAGUCGUUCAACUAUCUCAGAUUCAGACCCAAAGAUAGUGAGAUGGAACAUUGCAAUCAGCGAACGGGCAAGGGCUGGCUCAAUUGCAGCUGCACGCGAACUGUUCGAUACAAUGCCCCACCGCAGCAUUGUUUCGUGGAAUGCCAUCAUCUCUGCCUAUGCUUCAAACUCCGACAUUGAUUCUGCCCGCUGCCUAUUUGACCAAAUGCCUUGUCGUGACCUUGUCUCGUGGAAUGUGAUGCUCGCUGCCUAUGUCAAGAAUGAUGAUCUGAGGGCAGCACGCCGCCUUUUCACUGCAAUGCCAGAACGAGAUGUGGUCUCCUGGAACACCCUCCUCUCGGGCUACACUCAGGCCGGAUACAUUGAUGAUGCUAAGGACCUUUUUGAUCGAAUGCCCAAGAGAAACUCGAUUUCGUGGAAUGCAAUACUUGUAGGGUACAUUCAGAAUGGUUGUUUUGAGUCUGCAUGCAAGCUCUUUGCCUCAAAUCCUAAUGACUGGGACACUGUGUCUUGGAAUGCCUUGAUGGCUGGGUAUGUUCGGAGGAAGAGAUUGAUCGAGGCUCGACACCUAUUCGACAAAAUGUCCCAAAGGGAUGUGGUCUCAUGGAAUACGAUGAUCACUGGGUAUGCUCAAAAUGCUCAAAUGCAGGAGGCUCAUGAGCUUUUUAGGUUGUGUCUUGUGCGUGAUGUAUUCACUUGGACAGCGAUGGUGUCGGGGUAUGUGCAGAAUGGGAUGCUCGAUGAGGCGAGGGAUGUUUUCAACCAAAUGCCUGAGAGGAACACCGUGUCAUGGAAUGCGAUGAUUGCGGGUUAUGUCCAAGGGCGUCGGCUUGCACAGGCUUGUGAGUUGUUUGAGGCGAUGCCAUGCCGGAAUGCCUGCUCAUGGAACACCAUGGUGACUGGGCACGGUCAAAGUGGCGAUGUGGACACCGCCCGGCGGCUCUUUGACAAAAUGCCCAAGCGAGAUGCCAUCUCUUGGGCAGCCAUGAUAGCGGCAUAUGCUCAAAAUGGGCAUAGUGAGGAGGCAUUGAACCUCUUUAUUGAGAUGAGGAGGAUUGGACAAUGCUUGAUGAAUCGAUCAACUUUCACGUGUGCUUUGAGUACGUGUGCCGACAUUGCAGCGUUGGAGUGCGGGAAGCAGGUGCAUGCUCACCUCGUGAAGUCGGGGUAUGCAACAUGCACCUUUGUGGGCAAUGCUUUGCUCGCAAUGUACUGCAAAUGCGGGAGCAUUGCCGAGGCUUAUGUGGCCUUCAAAACAAUGCCGGAGAAAGACUUGGUCACAUGGAAUACAAUGAUAGCGGGUUAUGCCCGCCAUGGAUUCGGCAUCAGGGCUCUCCAAGUCUUUGAAGCCAUGAGAGAGAAACAUAUUGGACCAGAUAAUAUCACCAUGGUUGCGGUUCUGUCGGCUUGUAGCCACACCGGGUUGGUGAGCAAAGGCAUGGAGUAUUUUGAGUCCAUGAGGAGGGAUUACGGAAUAGAACCGGCAGGACAACACUAUACUUGCAUGAUUGACCUUCUUGGUCGCGCGGGGCGCUUGGAAGAGGCGUGGUGUCUCAUGCAAAGCAUAUCAUUUGAACCAGAUGGCACGAUGUGGGGUGCUCUGCUUGGUGCUAGUAGGAUACAUGGGAACACUAAAUUGGCUGAGAUGGCAGCAGAGAAGGUUUUUGAGAUGGAGCCAGAUAAUUCAGGGAUGUAUGUUCUCCUCUCAAAUUUGUAUGCGGAAGCUGGAAGAUGGGCUGAUGUGGAUAGAUUGAGAGUAAUGAUGAGGGAAAAAGGGGUGAAGAAAGUGCCCGGUUUUAGUUGGAUUGAGUAUAAGAACAAGGUCCAUGCUUUCUCUGUUGGGGAUUCAGACCAUCCCCAAAAAGAGAAGAUCUAUGCUUUCUUAGAGGAAUUGGAUCUGAGGAUGAAACAGGCUGGACAUGUAUCGGAAACGAAGAUGGUGUUACAUGAUGUGGAAGAGGAGGAGAAGGAGCACAUGGUUAAGCACCAUAGUGAGAAGCUGGCUGUCGCGUUUGGGAUCUUGAAUGUGCCCGAGGGACGGCCCAUCAGGGUGAUUAAGAACCUUAGAGUGUGUGUGGAUUGCCACAAUGCCAUAAAGCUUGUGUCUGAAAUAAUGGGGCGGGCUGUAAUUUUACGGGACUCCAAUCGUUUUCACCAUUUUGAGGGUGGUUUGUGUUCUUGCGGGGAUUAUUGGUGACAUAUUUGGUAAGAAAGGGGAGAUACCAGAUGUGAGAAAUAACGUGCUUUGAAAUACUGAAAGUGCAUUGGUUUGUCUCUGUUUCCCCUUUUUGCAGGAUUGUAUUGGAGCAAUUGAUGGAAUUCACAUCCUUGUGACAAUCGAUGCUGAGAGCUAAGCCCAAAUCGCAAUCGAAAAGGGUUGCUUUCCCAGAACGUUAUGACAACAUGUUCAUUCAAUCUUUUAUUCCAUAUGUUUAUGCUGGGCAGGAGGGUUCUGUUGCUGAUUCUACAGUUCUCCACGCAACUUUACAAAUGGCUUUCAUGUUCUCCAAGGUACUUCUAACUCGUGAUUUAAUUAAUAAUAUUUAUGUCAUUGAUCAUUUAGAUCUUUUCAAAUAAGCUAGGUAAAUACUACCUAGUCAAUGCAGGUUAUGCGAAUACCCCAAAUUUUAUCGCCCAAUGGAGUUUCAUUACCACCUCAAAGAAUAUGGACAUGGACAAAAUGCUACACAUGACUACAUGGAGUUAUUCAAUUUGAGACAUUCUUGUCUAAGAAAUGCAAUAAAGCGCAUAUUUGGUGUACUUAAGAAGCGUUUUGGUAUGCUUUCAGAGCAUACCCAAUAAAAAAAAGUCGAAUUAGUUAUUUUAAUGUGUUUCUUAUAUAAUUUUAUUCUUAUACAUUUGAAAGUGAUGACUGGCCCUUUGGGGAGUAUGACAAGGAAAAUCAUGAUCAAGUACAUCGACCAGAGAAUUUGAAGAAGAAAGCGCAACUAAUCUACGUGAUGCGAGUAGUUGAUUGCGAGAUAGCAUUACACAUGAUAUUUGGGUUGAUUAUUGUAACAGAAGAAGCUAGAUUGUUGGUUGGUUGAUGAUAUUAUGCUAGUUCAUAUAGUUAUAUUUUUUUUACACAUGGGAUUAUGUAUUUUUUUUUUUUUUAAAAUAACUUCUUUACUAUUAG